rnacentral:lncRNA from 1 species
UGAGUAUUUAGGAAAGAUUAGAAGAGAUUUAGAGAAGAUUAAAGUAUAAAAUGAGAUUAAGAGUCUAAAGUAAGAACUAGAGAGAGACUAAGAGAGACUCAUAACUUGCUUAAUCUUAUUAAUGAUGAGGUUACAAUAUAUAGAGAGAGAUCAGAUACAAGGGUUUCCAUUUGAUCACUAUUCUAAGCAUGUGGAGUCAAGGGAAGAGGCUCCUCAUUUCAAACUCAGCCAAUGAGAGAGUGAUCGUGUGUGAGGCAUCUUGGACUGAGAUGCUUUGCCUUUCCAGCCUGUCACAGCCUGUCAAGGCUCUCCACCUUAUCCACAACCUUAUCCCAACCUCAGCGCACACUCCUCUCUUCCUGGUAAGUUUCCCUUUACCCAUUUCACUCUCAAGUAACUCCUUUCACUAAGGUAACUUUCUUUUAACCCUUUUUACCACAGUAACUAAUAUUUACUGUGGUAACUUUCUCCACCCAAGUAACUUCAACCCUCCAUAACUACUCCUCAUCUCAACACGGAUGCUCUCAUUGGACACUUUCAAAUGGGCGCUCCCCUUAUGCUUUGACCUCACAUGCUUGUAUACUGAAACCCUAGUGUCUCCUACUCACUAUAUAUUGUAUCUCAAUCACAUUAAUGAAAGUUAGACAGUUCUAAUCACUAAAUCUCUCUGCACAUUUCACAAUGAUUCUCCAUUAGUCUCAUAAUCUCUUACUCUCUCUUAAUCUAUCUCUUAUUCUCUUAUAAACUCAGAUUCUACUUUACAUUUCUCAAAAGUCAUAUGGUAUCAGAGCCAGGUUGAUUUCAAUCUGAGUUCUUUGGUGUUUCUCUUAAAGAUUCAAACUUGAAGCUUUAAGAGAUCAAGUGAGUGUGUUUGGAGUGUUCUUGAGAGAUUCGACAUCACAAAGGUUUCAACUACUUUGUGGGAGAUCUUUUCUGGUUCUUUGGAGGUUCUUUGAAGAUACAAGACAAGAUACAAGG